AGACAUCGGGCGACCCUCGUCCCGCCAGGUUUUGGGGUCGCGCAAACGAGCGACGGGGGCUGGGGCUCCGGAUUCAGGUGUUCUUUCUUCAGCGCUCACGGGUUUCUGUCCGUACGCGAUGCGAGCGAACGUCGCGGUCGAGGCUAGGGCCCCGAAGCCCGCAGUAAUCCACGUCUCCCGCCCGCUCCGGGCCCCCAGUGCCGCCGUCGCGGGCGGAGGCGCGAGGUCUGGGCUUUGGCGCCUUCGCAGCCGCAGGCGACAUCCUCUUUCCUAGCUAAAGCCCCAAACGCCCAGGUGGCUUCCUGGGAGAGCACGGCUGAGCCUCCGCCUUCAGAUCAGAACAGGCAGAGCCUCCAAGGGCGGCUUGGGCCCAGUGCCUGCUUAUCCUGCCCGUCUCUCCACACUUCUUCUUUCCCUGUCCGUUGGAGUCCAUUCCUUCCUGGAAAAGCCAAAGCCGCGCUCCCCUAAGAGGCCUGGAUGUGAAGGUGAGUGAGACGCCCUGGCCUCUGGGUGCAAAGGCCGGCGCCUGCCGCUUUCAACACUCAGGAGGCGCGUUUCAGCCCCGCUGGCCCCCGGCCGCAGACUCGGAGCGCUGAGCUCCCACCGUUCCCAUCACCCGACUCCCUUCCCAGGAAUGAGGAGCACCCGGGAAGCUUCAGCCACUACACGAAGGAGGCGCCAAGCCCAAACUCCUCCCCAGCUACCGGCGGGGUCAGUGCAGAGCCGCGGAGGGCACACAUGAACCCUGGCACGCAGCCUCAGGGAGGGGCAGGCUGGAAAUGACCCUGCCUGCAGCUGGGCCAUCAGCCUGACCACCUGCCCCCUGAGCAAACGUUGAUGCAGGUCGGGCGCGGUGGCUCAUGCCUGUAAUCCCAGCACUUUAGGAGCCCGAGGCAGGUGGAUCACCUGAGGUUAGGCGUUCACGACCAGCCUGGCCAACAUGGUGAAACACCGUCGCUACUAAAAAUACAAAAACUAGCCAGGCAUGGUAAUGGGGUGCACCUGUAGUCCAGCUACUCGGGAGGCUGAGGCCCGAGAAUCGCUUGAACCCAGGAGGCGGAGCUUGCAGUGAGCGGAGAUCACCACUCCAGCCUGGGUGACAGAGUGAGACUCCAUCUCAAAAAAAUUAAUUAAAGAAAAAACGCUGAUGCUUUCUGAAAUACAUUUUAUUAUCGCUGUACCAUUCUGGGGCACUGGAGAUGGCAGCUGAGAAGCAGAGAAGCUGGAGACCUGAAGCCUCCACCCUUGGCUGUGGCUGCCGAGAGAGGCCCCUGCAGAGGGAGCCCCAGGCCACACCCAGACACCACAGCCAGCUCACAGUGCGGCCAGAGGGCACAGGCUGCUUGGGGGGUGAGGGUCCCCAUUCCUGCCACCUCUCACAGACCAUGACCCACAGGGCUGGGGGCUUCCCCUGGGAGAAAGUCCUUCCCUCCCCAUGGCCCAGCCCUGGGGAAAGAAAGCAGAGACUAACUCAGGGACUGCAGUAGGCUGAGGACAAGGGAGGUGGGCUUGGGGUGAAGGCCCCCCCUCACUCGCAGAGAAGGGACACUACCGGCAGUAGAGGACAGGGAGGCAGGACGACGGCAGUUAGAGACGAGGCGUUUCAGGUGAACUGUAUGUAGUGUUACUCCGGACGUGAGCAUGGCCUGGGUCAGUCGAAUGAAAUGAGCUGGGCCUCGCUGCCCUGUGCCGGCGGCCCCUGUGCCUGCGGUUGCUGGGCCACGGGGGGCUGCUGCUGGGGGGGACCGCCAGAGGGUGCCAUCUGUGCAGGAGGAAAGCAGGCAUGGCCCUGGUCCUCCCUUCCCCAGCCCAGGGAGGAAGGCUUUUGUCCCAGCAGAGCCACAGACCCACAAGUGCUUGUAAUCCAUGUCCACGGACUGCAGCUCAUGCAGCCAGCUCAUGCGGCCUUUGCCUUUCAAGUAAAUUCACGGUUUUUCCUGUCUACACUUGCGGAUGCGCGUAUCUGCCCUGAGACUUGUGUCCUCGUUCUGUCUGCUGAGAAGGGGCCUCGGGUAUGCGUCUCCCCCUGUGAGCAGACGUACGGGACAAUCCCCACUGGGGCCAGGGGUCCCAUUGCUAAACCGUGAAGCCUGAGGGUGCCCUGCGGGUGCCGCUGUGAGGCCCCGGGAAUGGCUCACCUGCUGGUACAUGGGCUGCUGCCCCGCGAUGUAGGGCUGCUGGGGUGGCAGAGACGCAUCCUGGCUUGGGAGGGUGGUCAUGAGAUUCUGUUGUGAGAAGACGUCAGAUGUGAGAGAGUAGCCCUGUGACCAGGCAGGCGGGGAUGUUUCUGGCUUGCAACAAUCCAAAGGUGACCACAGGGAGCACCCAGAGAGUGGAGGGGGAGGAGCAGAAGGGGUGGAGCCCACCCAGUGCCUGCCAGCCUCACCAAAGGACCCUCAGCAUCAUCAACUGCUCCCCCACCCUGGCCCCCAGCAGGGCCUGGAGGUCACUGUACCUGCAUGUUGUAAGGCUGGUAGCCCAUGGAGACUGACUGGCUCCCCAUGUAGCCCAUGGUGCUGGACUGCGGAGGCUGAGAGAUGGCCGGGAGGCUCUGUGGGGCCUGGGAGGCCACGUUCUGCGGAGGGAAUGAGUGCCAUGGGAGAAGGGGCUGGGGCUGGGGCUGGGGCUGGGGCUGGCCCUGGAAGGAGAGGAGCGGCCUUCCUGUGUACCUGGUAGCCCGCUGUGGGAGUAGGCUGGUAGGAUGAGUAAGCGGGGCUGGCGGUGGGUCCGGCCUGGGCCUGGGGGGCCGCCUGCGCCCCAGUGGCCCCUGCUGGGUACAUGUAGGCACUCACCAUGCUGGGAUCUGUGACAAACAAGACAGGGGAGAUGGUUCAGCCAGGGCAACAGGGAGGAGAGGAAGGGACACCCUACUCUUGAGUUUUACUUUUUUUUUUUUUUUUUUGAGAUGGAGUCCUGCUCUGUCACCAGGCUGGAGUGCAGUGGCACAAUCCUGGCUCACUGCAACCUCUGCCUCCCGGGUUCAAGCGAUUCUCCUGCCUCAGCCUCCCGAGUAGCUGGGAUUACGGGCGUACGCCACUACGCCCGGCUAAUUUUUUUUUGUACUUUUAAUAAAGAUGGGGUUUCAUCAUGUUGGCCAGGAUUGUCUUGAUCUCCUGACCUUGUGAUCCGCCCGCCUCGGCCUCCCAAAGUGCUGGGAUUACAGGCGUGAGCCACCGCGCCCGGCCGAGUUUUACUUUUUUUUUGAGAUAGUCUGUCACGCAGGCUGGAGUGCAGUGGCGCGAUCUCAGCUCACUGCAACCUCUGCUUCCUGGGUUGAAGCAAUUCUCCUGCCUCAGCCUCCCGAGCAGCUGGGAUUACAGGCGUGCACCACCACACCCAGCUAAGUUUUUGUAUUUUUAGGAGAGACGGGUUUCACCAUGUUGGUCAGGCUGGUGUCAAACUCCUGACCUCAGGUGAUCCACCCGCCUCGGCCUCCCGAAGUGCUGGGAUUAUAGGCGUGAGCCACCGCCCGGCCAGGAGUUUUCCUUUUUGUUGUGACUUUUGGAACCAAGUUCAGGUUUCACGUUUCUAAAAAAAAGGAACAUAGGCGGGGCGUGGUGGCUCAUGCUUGUAAUCCCAGCACUUUGGGAGGCCGAGGCAGGCGGAUCAUGAUGGCAGGAGUUCGAGACCAGGCUGUCUAACAUAGUAAAACCCUGUCUCUAAUAAAAAUACAAAAACUAGCUGGGCAUGGUGGCAGGCGCCUGUAAUCCCAGCUACGCAGGAGGCUGAGGCAGGAGAAUUGCUUGAACCUGGGAGGCGGAGAAUGCCGUGAGCUGACGUCGCACCACUGCACUCCAGCCUGGGCGACAGAGCGAGACUUCGUCUCAAAAAAGAAGAUAAACCAACAAGGAUGGGAGGAGAAUCCUAGAAUGGAAUGAAAUCAGAAAAAAUGAACCAAACUGUAUUUGAAAUGAGUGACAUGGUCUGACCAAUGGGAUGGGAUAGUGAAUUCCAGUAACUUCUGAACCCAAAAUCUGGACUCCACGGCCUCAGGCUACAAAUGACAAGAACUACAGACAAAUGUUACACUCCAGUUAGGAGGCAUCGUCUCCACAGUGGGCCAGGUUAGCAUUCUUAAAACUACUUUUUGUGUAUUCUAGGGCUGAGCAAUUGAGUAUAUUGAAAACAAUGCAAAAGAAAACUGUGCUAUUGGAUUAAAAUUGCAAGUACUGGAAUUAACUCAUGGAUUUUUUUUUUUUUUUUGAGACGGAGUCUCGCUCUGUCACCCAGGCUGGAGGGCAAUGGCAUGAUCUUGGCUCACUGCAAGUUCCACCUCCCAGGUUCCAGUGAUUCUCUUGCCUCAGCCUCCCAAGUAGCUGGGAUUACAGGUGUGCACCAUCACGCCUGGCUAAUUUUUGUAUUUUUAGUAGACGGGGUUUCACCAUGUUGGCCAGGCCAGUCUCCAACUCCUGACCUCAGGUGAGCCACGCGCCUUGGCCUCCCAAAGUGUUGGGAUUACAGGCAUGAGCCACCGCACCUGGCUGCACUCACGGUUUUUAUCAUAUACAAAGACGCAUGUAUUCGCACAUACACAGACGCACCCACAACUGUGCACUUGUAUUCACAUACACACUUUCCAGCUCUGUCUGCUAACAACCUAGAGCUGUGAGCACACCCAGAAUCUUGAUCUUGGCUUCUAACCAAGAUCCAGACCACCCUCCACUAAAGGGAACAAGGGCUCCUUGGAGAAAUGGCUGCUUCCAGGGUUGAGAACAUACAAGACGAGCACAGAGUAUCUAGCAACAGAAACUCAGGAGCAACCCAAACCAAUGGCCCUACGCAACAGAGAAGCCACUGACGCCUCCCAUGGCCACACCUGGGAAACUUUGAGCAUCAAAGUAACGGGGCUGGGCACGGUGGCUCACACCUGUAAUCCCAGCACUUUGGAAGGCCGAGAAGGGCGGAUCACUCGAGGUCAGGAGUUUGAGGUCAGCUUGGGCAACACAGAAAGACCUCAUUUCUACAUUUUUUUUGAGAUGGAGUUUCACUCUGUUGCUCAGGCUAGAGUGUGGUGGUGCAACCUCGGCUCACUGCAACCUCCACUUCCCGGGCUCAAUUCAUUCUCUGCCUCUGCCUCCCGAAUAGCUGGGAUUACAGGCACGUGCCACCACGCCCACCUAAUGUUUGUAUGUUUAGUAGAGACAGGGUCUCACCAUCCUGGCAGGCUGGUCUUGAACUCCUGACCUCAUGACCCACCUGCCUCAGCCUCCCAAUGUGCUGGGACUACAGGCGUGAGCCACCGCACCCAGCCCUUUUUUUUUUAAUUAGCCAGGCAUGGUGGUGCAAUCCUGUAGUCCCAGCUACUCAAGAGGCUGAGAUGGGAGGAUUGCUUGAGCCCAGGAGGUCGAGGCUGCAGUGAACCAUGAUCAUGGCACUGCACUCCAGCCUGGAUGACAGCGAGACUCUAAAAAUAAAGAGUGAUGACAGAGGAGUGUCACCUUUGAAAGAAAAAAUAAACACGUCUCCACGCUGCUGUGACUGACGAUAAGCAGGAGAGUGGGGAAGAGUACCUCCCGCCAGUGGAAAGACAACAGCAGAAUUAGAAGGCGCUAUUUGGCAAACACCGUAAUAAACACAGGCAACAUUAGCAAAAAAUGCUAGACCUUGAGGAGUCCCAGGGUAUUUGGAAGGCCUCCCCCAAGAGACAUCUGUAAAGGGCAAAACAGUCACUUCACAGUGAAAACCCCUGGCAGACCCCGUCUCAGCCGAACGGCCAGCAAUGGGACUGACGGGAUGCACGUCACCUCGGCUGCCACUCUGAGAAAAGCACAGCCUUAUGGUCACCGCGUGGAGACACCAGACAAACCUGAGCUGAGGACGGUCUGCCGAAUGACAGGCCAGUGCUCUUGGGACAGUAGAUGUCACAAAACACAGAAGCUGACUGGGGAACACUCUAGAUUAAAGGCGGGGGGGGGGGGGGCAAAUGCCACGCAGCAGGGGGCGUGCUGUUUACAGGACACCACUGGGACAGUCCAUGAGGGCUGAGCCUGCUACAGACGAGGAUCGGCAGCCCAGCACCUGCUGGUUUCAGGAAAUGCUCGCUGUCGCAUUCAGGGGAGAGGGCAGUACCUGCCACGCACGGACUGAAACACGGCUCCAGCAGGAAAGCCUGUGUGAGUGCGUUUGCAUGGAAACAGGAAAAAGCAGGGACAACAUUCACAUCGGGGCAACUGGGAAAACCCUUCGCACCAUUCUUACUGCUUUUCUGUAAAUUCGGCUAAAAUAAAGACGAGGGAUAAAAGGCA
rnacentral:lncRNA from 1 species